GACGAACGCUGGCGGCGUGCUUAAUACAUGCAAGUCGAGCGAGGUUACUGUUUUGGAUCCCUUCGGGGUGAAGAAGCUUUAACCUAGCGGCGGACGGGUGAGUAACGCGUGGGUAACCUACCCCAAAGUCCGGGAUAACAGCGGGAAACCGCUGCUAAUACCGGAUGCCUUUACCUUGGGGCAUCUUGAGGUAAAGAAAGGUAACGCUUUGGGAUGGGCCCGCGUCCCAUUAGCUAGUUGGUGAGGUAACGGCUCACCAAGGCGACGAUGGGUAGCCGGCCUGAGAGGGUGGACGGCCACACUGGGACUGAGACACGGCCCAGACUCCUACGGGAGGCAGCAGUAGGGAAUAUUGCGCAAUGGACGGAAGUCUGACGCAGCGACGCCGCGUGAGCGAUGAAGGUCUUCGGAUCGUAAAGCUCUGCCCUUGGGGAAGAAGGUCUUCGGACUUGACGGUACCCAAGAAGAAAGCCCCGGCUAACUACGUG
rnacentral:rRNA from 1 species